GGCGGGUCCCUGCGCAUUGCGGUGUGACCAAUCUGGUCAGGUCGGGAACGAAGCAGCCACAGUCAUUUCCCGUAAGUGCCGCAGAUCAGGCUCGCCAAC
rnacentral:SRP_RNA from 1 species